rnacentral:rRNA from 1 species
GAUGAACGCUGGCGGCGUGCCUAGUACAUGCAAGUCGAGCGAACGGACGAGAAGCUUGCUUCUCUGAUGUUAGCGGCGGACGGGUGAGUAACACGUGGAUAACCUAUCUAUAAGACUGGGAUAACUUCGGGAAACCGGAUCUAAUACCGGAUGAUAUUUUGAACCGCAUGGUUCAAAAGUGAAAGACGGUCUUGCUGUCACUUAUAGAUGGAUCCGCGCUGCAUUAGCUAGUUGGUAAGGUAACGGCUUACCAAGGCAACGAUGCAUAGCCGACCUGAGAGGGUGAUCGGCCACACUGGAACUGAGACACGGUCCAGACUCCUACGGGAGGCAGCAGUAGGGAAUCUUCCGCAAUGGGCGAAAGCCUGACGGAGCAACGCCGCGUGAGUGAUGAAGGUCUUCGGAUCGUAAAACUCUGUUAUUAGGGAAGAACAUAUGUGUAAGUAACUGUGCACAUCUUGACGGUACCUAAUCAGAAAGCCACGGCUAACUACGUG